GUGGUGAUAGUGUAGUCGGUUAUCACAUCCGCCUAACACGCGGGAGGUCCUCGGUUCAAUUCCGAGUCACCACA
rfam:Trachipleistophora hominis chromosome Tnknown scaffold00074, whole genome shotgun sequence.